ACUGAGAACGACUGCAAAGGGAAAAGACUUGCAUUUUGAGAAGGGUCUAGCUGCAGACCCGCAGACCACUCAACGAAACACCCCUUUACUCAACGAAACACCCCCUCACACUACACGACACUCUGAUUGGGUCUCAAGAGACUGAGUCUGAAACGUGAUGACGUUUACGUUGACUGAGUAUGAAGAGAGAGAACCCGAAAAAGUAACAUGGGAAAAACACGGGAAAAUGACAGCGGAAAAGAGCAACACUACGUUCAGUGAAAGAGCAGAUCCUGAGCUGAGAAGAUGCGACUCGGACACUGAUCUGCACAAAAAAGGGGAGCUAUGCAAAGCUUGUGGCUCAUCUGCAGGGACACCAAAGGUCAAUGGUGGAGUACGGUGGAUACAGUGUAAACAGAUGCCACCUUGACUGUGUGAAAAGCAGCAACUACCACUGUUGGUUUUGCACAACAAUCAUUGCGACCAAACAAUAUUUCAUCAAGCAUUUCAUAACCUGCUGCAAGACAGCAUCCACAAUCCACAGUGACCCUAGCAUCUAGGGUCACUCCACCAUCCACAGCAACUCCACCAUCCACAGUGACCCCAGCAGCCCCAGCAGCAGCCCAUCGAAAAAAAAUAUUGUUGGCAAAGCAGUCUAAAACAACAUGCGGUUUUUGUAGCAAAACAGUGCUUAGAAAAAAUCUCAAAACACACAUUGAAAGGCAACACAAGGUGAAAUCAUUGGACAUACCAGCAGAUCACCACCUUAACUCUGUGUGUGUUGACAGGAGAAUUGGAAUUUUUGCAGUGUCAAGAUCUUUUAAGGGUACUGCACACUACAUCCAUGCCCAAAAAUGUACCUGGGGUAUUAACCCUAGUAGGCCUAUAAUAAACACACCUUUUUGUAACAGACAGGUUGCCAUGAUGUUGAAAGUUUGCAAAAACAAAUGAAAUUAUUCAAAACGUUACAUUGUACAGAAGUGUGUUCACAGUGGAAUUUGUGAUACUAUAUUGUAUAAACGUGAUAGUAUAUUGUA